UACGUAGGGGGCAAGCGUUGUCCGGAUUUAUUGGGCGUAAAGAGCGUGUAGGCGGCCAUCUAGGUCAGCUGUGAAAACUCGAGGCUCAACCUCGAGACGUCGGUUGAAACCGUAUGGCUAGAGUCCGGAAGAGGAGAGUGGAAUUCCCGGUGUAGCGGUGAAAUGCGCAGAUAUCGGGAAGAACACCCGUGGCUAAGGCGGCUCUCUAGUACGGUACUGACGCUGAGACGCGAAAGCGUGGGGAGCGAACAGG
rnacentral:rRNA from 1 species